CCCCAGUGGUAGAGGUAUUAACCAUUAACCAUGUCUUAAUAAUUAACUGGUAUUAAUCCAGUUCCAGAUGUCUCCAAAAGGGACCAGCUGCUGGACAAAUCUGAGCCUGUGAGUUUCACCUCUGUGGUAAAGUAUUUAAAAAAGGAUAAAAAUAUUGAACAGCAGCUUUGAGAGGAGGGAGAAAAUAUGGAGGGAAACAGUCAUGAAGACACCAAGCUCAGUGAAGAAGGAGGAAAAGAGAUGUUCCAGGCACCAGAGCAGGAUGUUCCCUGUGAGACUGUGAUGAAGUGUGAUGAAGAAGGUUUGAGCCCCUGCAGCCCAUGGUGUAUCAUAUCAGAGCAGAGCAGAGCAGAGCAGAGAUCUACACUACAGUCUGUGGAGGACUCCAUGCCAGAGCAAGCACACCUGCUUUGAAGUAAACUUCAGUUUUUAGAGAUGAGCUCAUGCUGAAGCAGGGGAGGAGCAUUACAAGGAAGGAACAGUAGAGGCAAAGUGUUAUGAACUGACCACAACCCCAUUCCACUGUCCUCAUUCCCCUGAAUCAUGUAAGGCAGAAGACAUAGAAACCUCAAGAUUGAAGUUGAGCCUAAGAAGAAGAGGUGGACAGGAGAAGGAGUCACAGAAGGCUGGAACUUCUUCAAGAAGUCUGAUCUGCUUGGCUGACCAGAGAGCUUCAUUUGGAAUAGAGUGAUUAGCUCAGGAAGAAUGGGAAGGCAACAUACGAGGAAAAAUGUAGUGAUGGAAGACGAGAAUAAGGCUGAGUCCUGUUUGUUGCCUGGGAGAAGAGGCCAAACCCCUCCUCAUCACAGCCUUCGUUCAGGAAAUUGGAGACUGCGGUCAUCAAUGAAGAUACUAAACAAGAUGGACACUAGUACCAAACCCUGGAGGACACCACUUGAAACAGGUUGCCAGCUGGACUUAACUCCAUUAACCACUACGUGUCGGGCAUGGCCCUCUAGCCAGUUCCUUCCCCAAAAAAGGGUAUACCUGUCCAGGCCACGGGCAGCCAGUUUUCCCAGGAGAAUGCUGUGAGAGAUUGUGUCAAAGGCUUGGCUGAAGUCUAGGCAGAGUACAUCAACAGCUUUUCCCUCAUUUAUCAGUCUGGUCACCCAGUUGUAGAAGGAGAUGAGGUUGGUCAAGCAUGACCUGCCUUUUAUGAAGCCAUGCUGGCUGGGCCUGAUCCCCUGGACGCCAUGCACAUGCUGUGUGAUCUCACCCAAGACGAUUUGCUCCAUAACUUUCCCUGGUACUGAGGUCAGGCUGACAGGCCUGUAGUUCCCCAGAUCCUCCUUAAAGCCCUUCUUGUAGAUGGGAGUCACAUCAGCAAGCCUCUGGAACCUCUCCAGAUAACCAGGAGUGCUGGUAGAUGGCCAAGAGCAGCUCAGCAAUCAUCCCUGCCAGCUCCCUCAGUAUCCGAGGGUGCAGCCCACCUGAUCCCAUGGACUUGUGACAGUCCAGAUGGAGGAGAAACUCUCUAACUGUCUCCACCUGAAUCACCAGGGGUGUAUUCUGUAUAGCAUCCCAGACUUCCAGAUCAGGGUGUAAAGUGCCCUGAGGAUAACUGAUCUGACUAUUAAAGGCAGAUGUAAAGAAAGCACUGAGGACCUCAGCCUCUCCUUAUCCUCAGAGGUCACAUUGCCCGCUGCAUCAAGUAAAGGAUGGAAAUUCUCCAAGGUUCUUCUGUUACAUCUAAUUUAUUUGUAGAAGUAUUUCUUAUUCUCUUUCACUGCAGUGGCCAAUCUGAGUUCAAGUCAGGCUUUUGCUUUCCUAACUUCCUAACUGCAUACCUCAGCAACUUCCUUGUUAUCUCCUCCCCAAGUUGCCUGUCCCUUCUUCCAGAGGACACAGACUCGGUUUUUUUCCAGAGUCUCAACAAGAGUUCAUGGUUUAUCCACACCAGUCUUCUUCCCCUACGGCUCGCCUUAUGGCACUCAGGGAGUCCUGUUCUUGUGCCUUUAAGAUUUCCAUCUUGAGGAGCGUCCAGGCUUACUGGACCCCUUCACCCUUAAAGAGCAACUCCCAAGGGACCUGUGCUACAAGCGUCCUGAACAGGUCAGAGUCCGCCCUCUGGAAGUUAAAGAUAGCAGUUUUGCUAGUCACCCUUCUGACAUCUCCAAGAAUAGAGAACUCUACAGUUUCAUGGUCACUCUGCCCAAGACAGUCCCCAGCCUUCACAUCUCCCACCAGUCAUUCACUGUUUGUGAAGAGCUGGUCUAGCAGGGCACCACCCCUGGUAGGCUCUCAUACGAGCUGUGUAAGGAAGCUAUCUUCCACGCACUCUAGAAACCUCCUGGACUGCUUCCUCUGCACUGUAUUAUAUUUCCAACAUAUAUCAGGUAAGUUGAAGUCUCCCAAGAGAAUGAGUGCAGGCGAUUGCAUGACUUCACAAGCUGCUCAUAGAAUGCCUCAUCCAUCUCUUCAUCCUGAUGAGGUAGUCUGUAACAGACUCCCACCAAGACGUCACCCCUACAGGCCUCCCCCCUGAUCCUUACCUGUAGACACUCAACUUCAUCAUUCCCAACCCCAAGCUCUUCAACAUCAAAACACUCUUCAAUAUAAAGGGCCAUACCACCACCCUUCCUUCCUCGUCUAUCCCUUCUGAAGAGCUUAUAGCCAUCCAACACAGCACUCCAGUCAUGGGAGUGGUCCCACCAUUUUUCAGUAAUAGCAACUAGGUCAUAGUUAGCCUGCUGCACAAUCGCUUCCAACUCCUCCUGCUUGUCGCCCAUGCUGCGUGCAUUGGUGUAGAUGCACUUGAGCCAAGUCAUCUGCCUCAUCCCCAUCUCAGGCAUUGUUCCCCCAGGCUCAUCUCUGGUUAACCCUGUUUUUUUCCCUUCCCCUGUCAUAGCUAGUUUAAAGCUCUUUUGAUAAGCCCCGCUAACUCCUGCCCUAGGAUUCAUUGUCCGCUUUGAGAUAGGUGGGUUCCAUGCAGAGACAACAGGCCAGGGGCCAAGUAAACUGACCCAUGAUCAAAGAACCCAACGUUUCUGCCUUGACACCAGCCUCUGAGCCAAUUAUUUAUUGCUUGUGCUUUCCAAGCCCACUCUGUGUCCCUCACUGCCCCUGAAGGUAUAAAGCUAAAGAUCACUUGAGCUCCCACUCCUUGAACUAAGCUCCCUAAACCCCUGCAAUCUCUCUUCAUAGUUUGUAGGCUUCUCAGAGCAAUUUCAUCACUGCCCACCUGAACUAUGAGUAAUGGAAAGGAAUCCGUGGACCUAACCUGCUAGGGGAGUUUCCUGGUUAUGUCUCUGACCCAGGCCCCUGGAAGGCAACACCCUUCCCAGUUGCGCAGGUCCAAUCUACAUAUGGGGCCCUCCAUUCCUCUGAGAAGGGAAUCUCCCAUCACAACCACAUUUCUUUCUCUCCUGACAGAGGCAGUCUCAAGGCGUGGGGGGUGACCACAUUGCCUUAGACUCCUUCCUAGGCAGAUCCUCCAUCACCUCCCUACUCCCCUCCCCUUCAAUUUCUAGAAUCUCAAACCUGCUGCUUAGAGGGAGCUGGGGACACAGGGUAGGCAGGCACGGGGGCCCCCGUGACACCAAGCCAGGACUCUCUUCCAGUUCUCCUCAUCAGACAGGUCUGUCUGACUGUGACAGGGCAGGAGGUCAACCACUUUUCUGGGGAUAUCUCCCUAGCACCCUUCCCUCCAGCAUACCAUCAAGUCACUCCACCAGUCAGUCUCCCGCUCACACUCCCUGAUGGUCCUUAAUCUUUGCACCUCCUCCUUGAGCUCCACGACCAGGCUGAGCAGCUCAUCCACCUGCUCACACCUCACACAUGUGGAAUCCCUGCCACCCUCCCCAGGCAGCAGCAGGCUCAGGCACUCCUUGCAGCCAGAGACCUGAACAGCUACAUUUCUGGGCAGGCCCUCCAUCUGGGUCAGCACACUCUUCUUGGAAUAAGCCCACUGUCUGGUGAAGACCAUGUUUAGGCCUGCAGUCUCAGAGACUGUCAAGAGGAAAGCUGGUCUCCUGAGCAAGGAGGAACUAUACUUACAGUCCUCACCACUUGACCCACCUCCCACACCCACAGCUGCAGCACCAUAUGGGCAUCGUGGGCUGUGCUCACUCACUGAGCUUCCUCAUUCUCAGUGGGCAGCAACAAUGGUUAGUCACCCAGGGAGCUCUGUAGGCAAAAGCUAGCUUCCCAAAGUUAUUUAAAGCUUAUUAUCAGGUGCAAACAUUAAGGGCAGGUGUUUAAACUGUGCCACUAACAUGCUAGCUGCACCCCUUGUUGUCUCAGGAGCCUGCCCCAAAGCUGCUAGCUCCUCAGCACCAGCACAGCACUGUUACUGGCUUCAAAACAGCCUUAAAAAGAGGGUUUUUUUUGUUGGUCUUUUAUAUUUCAGCUUCCUUGUUCUGUGCAGUCUUACUUGCUUUGAGGCUAGUCCCUGCAGCAAAUUUUUGUAUGGUGUAACCAAAAUUUUAUAUACAUGAAAGUAAUUUGUAGCUUUUCUGUACAGAAAAAGUUAUUUAUGGGUUUAACGGGCAUGUAGUGAAACACACAGAAAUAUAGGCCUUGUGUGAAAGCAGAUACUUGAGAAAUGGGGACAUAAGAAGUAGGGUAGAGGACAGGGGAGCACAGAUGUGGGGUGAUUAGAGUCAGCACAAGCUGACUCUGAAAACCCUUUAGCUCUGAACCCUCCAGCAGUCACUUAAAGAAAUGCAUGUCUGGAUCCGAACAAAACUGGCUUCAGUGGUAAUACAGAACAAGGAGCAAGUAUAUAAUUAUGUAAAAUCCAUCAUAUACAGUAAGCGUACAUCAUAUAAAAAGAUUCAUUACAGAAUUGCAGACAAGUGAAGAAAAAGCAAACUAUAAAUUAUGUGUUAACAAGCAUACAGAAAGUGGACCCUAGAGUGAGGAAGCUGAAAACAUAAACAUGAAGGUCCUCCUGGUGGAAUACUUAGAAUGUUGCUUGACUUCUUGUGUUCCACCAAAGUACACUGUUAUCAUUACACAAGGAGAAGAAAAGAGGAACAGUACACCAACAGAAGAACUAGAAGCUAGGAAGUGUGCAUAUAGUAAUUUUAACUGUAUUGCUAUUCUGAAUGUGUUAUUAUUAAUAUAUUUUCUGUAUAAUUGGAUUUGCUUUUUUCAUGUAACAUUUCGAUCUGGACUAAUAUUAAUCCUGUAAUAAGACUGUUAAGAUUUCAGUUAUACAACCUCUUGGCUUUUUAUAUGUUUCCUCUUUUGUUCAUAACAAGAUUUUAAGCAACAGAAUGCUCUCCAGGGCUUGAGCACGGGCAAGUAAAUCGGAAGGUCAUGGGACUUCUUUCUGGGAGUGCUGUGGUGAGUGAUGAGAAAUGGUAAUACCUAUGGAGAGGUGACAUCUGAUAGGUGAUGAGAACUGGUUGCCCUGCUGAGACUUAAAAGCACUGUGCAUAAGAGACAAAGAAACAAUUACUGUCUCUGGUUAAUUAACAAUGCAGCUGCAAAAAUAAAUAAAUAAAUAAAUAAAUGUUGAGGUGGGGGGGGGAAGUGGUUGUUAAAUGCUAUUGCAUCCAUAAAUGGCUUCCUUGAACAUAAUGCAGUGGAGAAUCUGAAUGGCAUGUUUUUUACUUUUUCAAAGGCAAAUUCCUUAGGAAAAAGGAUUUGUCUUUUUAAAGCUAUUUGAUCACAUUAAAAUCCUCUCUUCUUGGUACAACAUGUUACCUUUUUGUUAUGAAUUUAGGGAGUACAUUUUAAUAGCUCAAUGUGAAGUUCAUAAGAGGAUCAAAUGCCUAAAUAUUAUUUUUAAUGCUCUCCAGCUCAUUUCCUUUUUUCCUGCUGAUAUUGCUAAAAAGUCUGCCAAGAACGCACUGGCAAAUUGUAAGUACUCAAAUAAUGAACAUCUCAUCCAAUGUUUUGUGGAUAAUUAGGGGAUUACAUGUCAUCAAGACUAAGGCCACCUUUUAUUAACCAUAAAUUUUUCACUUGUGUAGACUUUUAUUACUUCAGGUUCCUAUUAUUUUUAAAGUUUUUAAAAGCAUAUAAAUAUUGCUAACUUUUAACAUUUGGUGCUCCAAUAUGAGCAUAACACAACCUUCCAUCAGAUCCGUCCAAAAUUAUUUCUUAUCAUUUAUGAUCAAUGGUUUAGUUCCAUCAACAUGGAUACAGCUGAUAGUUGGCUGCUCACUUCCAGUGGUUGGUUUACUUCCUAUUCCAGUAGAAAUAAGAAAAAAAUUACAAAGAGAUACAUUAAGUGAAUUAUUUACUAGAAAAGUAUGGAAAAAUAAAAAGUAUGGAAAAGUAUGGAAAAUAAAAAGAUCUUGAGGGAUCUUGAGGGAUAUUGUACAGACAAAGAAUAAAAUCAGGAAGCUUAAUUUUAGGAAAGCCAAAUUCCAGCUCUCCAGGGAGUUAGUCAACAAAGCCCCCUGGAAAUCUGUCCUCGAGGUCAAGUGUGAAGAGCAGAGUUGGCAGAUCUUUGAGGAAGCUUUCCUUAGGGUCCAAGAGUUCUCCAUCCCCAGAUGGACGAAGUCAGGAAAGGAAGGCAAGAGACUGGCAUGACUGAACUGGGACCUGCUCAUCAAACUGGAAAGCAAGAAAAUGCACAGGUAGUGGAAGCAGGGACAGGUAACCUGGGAUGAGUAUAGAGAUGCUACUAGGCUGUGUAGAGAUGGGGUCAGGAAGGCCAAGGCCCAACUGGAACGGGACUUGGCAAGGGGAGCAUAUGAUAAGAAAGUCUUCCGUAGGUUCAUCAACUGUAAAAGGAAAGUCCAGGAGGGUGUACAUUCCCUAAUGGGCAACACAGGCAGGCUAGUAACAGAAGACAAGGAGAAGGCUGAGUUAUUCAAUAACUUUUUUGCCUCAGUCUUCACUGGUGACUGCUCUACAUACAGCCUUUGAGCAGACGGCUCAGAAGGUGAGAACUGGGGGAGUGAUGCCCCUCCCGCUGUAAGCAAAGAUCAAUAUCAUGACUGCCAGAGGAACCUGAACAUCCAUAAGUCCAUGGAUCCCAAUGAGAUGCACCAAGAGUCCUGAGGGAAUUGGCUGGCAUAGUCACCAAGCCACUUUCAGUGAUAUUUGAAAAGUAAUAGUGAUCAGGUGAAGUCCCUGGUGUCUGGAAAAAAAGCAAUGUCACAUCCAUUUUUAAGAAGGGUAGAAAAGACCCAGGGAACUGUCAACCUGUCAGCCACACUUCUGUACCAAGGAAGAUCAUGGAGCAUUUAUUCCCGGAAGCUGUACUAAGACAUACAAAAGAGAGGGACCUAAUAUAGGAUAACCAGCAUGCCUUCACUGCCUGACCAACUUGUCACUUUUUAUGAUGGCUUAACUGCAUCAGUGGACAAGGGAGGAGCCAUUGAUGUCAUUUAUCUGGACUUCAGUAAGGCCUCUGACAUGGUCCCUCAUAACAUUCUUCUCUCCAAAUUGGAAAGAUACGGAUUUGAUGGGUGGACAGUUCAAUGCACAAGGAACUGGUUGCAAGAUCAUACCCAGAAAGUAGUGGAAAAUAGCUCAGUGUCUGAAUGGAGAUCAGUGAUGAGUGGUGUCCCUCACAGGUCAGUCAGUACUGGGGCAAAUUCUCUUUAACAUCUGCAUCAGUGACACUGACCAUGCAAUUAACCCGCAGCAAAUUUGCAGAUAACAGUAAGCUGUGUGGUGUGGUUGACACUCCUGGAGGAUAGGAUACCAUCCAUAAAGACCUAGAUAGGCUCAAGAAGUGGGCUCAGGAUAACCUCAUGAGGCUUAAUAAGAACUCCAAGAUUUUUCACCUAGGUUAUGGCAACUCCUUUUGUCAGUACAAGUUGGAGGAACGUAAGGAUGAAGAGCAGCACUGCCAGAAAGGACAUGGGGAUACUGGUGGAUGGGAAGCUGAACACGAGCCAGCAAUGUGCCCUCACAGCCCAGAAAGCAAACCAUAUCCUGGGCUGCAGCAAAAGCAGCAUGGUAAGCAGGUUGAGGAAAGUGACUCUCCAUCUACUCUGCACUGGUGAGACCUCACCUAGGGUACUGCAUCCAGAUAUGGAGUCCUCAGUACAGAAGAGAUGUGAACCUGUUAUAGCACAUCCAGAAGAGGGCCACAAAAAUGAUCUAAGGAUGGAACAUCUCCCCUAUGAGAGCAGGCUGAGAGAGCUGGGGCUGUUCAGCCUGGAGAAGGCUCCAGGGAGACUAAUAGCAGCCUUUCAGGAUCUAAAGGGGAAGCUGUAAGAAAGAAGUGGACAGACUCUUUAGCAAAGUCUGUGGUGACAGAACAAAGGGAAAUGGUUUCAAAUGAAAAGAGGGGAGAUUUAGAUUGGAUAUAAGGAAGAAGUUUUUUUUUUUUACAAUAAGAGAGGUGAGGAGCAAGGAAAAAGAGCAACAAAAAAGGUGAAAGGUCUAGAGGGAACGAUGUAGGAGGAUCAGCCUGCAUUCAGUUUGUUCAGCCCAGAGCAGAGCAGCUGAGGGGAGGCCUCAUGGUGGCUGCAGCUCCUCACAGGGCAUGGAGGGGCAGUGCUGAGCUCUGCUCUGUGGCGACAGCGGUAGGGCCCGAGGGAGCAGCAUGGAGCUGUGUCAGGGAAGGGUCAGGUCGGGAACUAGGAACUGGUUCUCCACUGAGAGGGUGGUCUGGCACUGCAACAGGCUCUCCAGGGAAGCGGUCAUGGCACCAAGCCUGCUGGAGCUCAAGAAGCAUUUGGACAGCACUCUCAGACAUAUGGUUUAACUUUUAGGUAGUCUUGUGUGGAGCCAGGAAUUGGACUUGAUGAUCCUUGUGGGUCCCUUCCAACUUGGGAUCUUUUGUGACUCUGUGAUUCACAAACUGCAGUCAGUGUUUUCAGGGUAACAAGGAGGGUAGAAAAGGGGAGUAAAGUAAGAAUUUUAAGGAAAAGGAUGGUGAAAAUAUCAAGUAGGCGAAGCCCAAGCACAGUAGCAUAAGCACAGAAAUCAACUGAGGAAUAACAAUUAUUUGGAGCUCCUUUAUGACCUGUAACAUUUAGGAUCAAAACUGUCUUUACUUUCCUGGGGUGGAGAGUAACAAUUGUGCCUAGAAAGUCACAUAACUUACCUCUGUGAAUCAUAGAAUUACUCAGGUUGGAAAGGACCUCAGAGAUCAUCAAGUCCAACCGCAGCCUAACCAUAGUACCCUAACUCUAACAACCCCCUGCUGAAUCAUAUCUCUGAGCAUCACAUCCAAACGGCUCUUAAACACAUCCAGGAAUGGUGACUCAACCACCUCCCUGGGGAGCCUAUUCCAGUGUUUAACCACCCUUUCUGUAAAGAAGUGUUUCCUAACGUCCAGCCUAAACUUACCUUGGAGCAACUUGAGGCCAUUUCCCCUUGUCUUGUCACCUGUCACCAGUGAGGAGAGACCUACCCCGCUCUCACUGUAAGCACCUUUCAGGUACUUGAAGAGAGUAAUCAGGUCUCCCCUCAGCCUCCUCUUCCCCAGACUAAACAGCCCCAGCUCCAUCAGCCUCUCCUCAUAGGGCUGAUUUUCCAAGCCCUUCACUAGUCUCAUUGCCUUUCUCUGGACCUACUCCAGUACCUCCAUGUCCUUCUUGUACUGAGAUGCCCAAAACUGAACACAGUCCUCAAGGUGAGGCCUCACCAAUGCCGAGUACAGGGGCAGGAUGACUUUCCUAGUCCUGCUCACCAUACCAUUCCUGAUACAAGCCAGGAUGCCAUUGGCCUUCUUGGCCACCUGGGCACACUGCUGGCUCAUAUUCAGCCGACUGUCCAACAGUACACCAAGGUCCCUUUCCAUCAGGCAGCUUUCCAGCCACACCUCCCCAAGCCUGUAGGGUUGCCUGGGGUUCUUGUGACCAAAAUGCAGGACCCGACACUUGGCCCUUUUGAAACUCAUGCAGUUAACCUUGGCCAUCGAUCCAGUCUAUCCAGAGCCCUCUGUAAUGCCCUUCUCCCCUCUGGCAGAUCAACACUCCCUCCCAGCUUGGUGUUGUCUGCAAACUUACUGAGGGUGCACUCAAUCCCCUCAUCAAGAUCAUCAAUGAAGAUGUUAAACAGAAGCGGCUCCAGCACUGAGCCUUGGGGCACACCACUCAUGACCGGCCACCAACUGGAUUCAACUCCAUUGACCACUACUCUUUGGGCCCGGCCAUCCAGCCAGUGCUUCACCCAGCAGAGCAUACACCCAUCCAGACCAUGGGCAGCCAGCUUCUCCAUGAGAAUGUUAUGGGGGACAGUGUCAAAGGCUUUACUGAAGUCCAGGUAGACCAAAUCGACAGCCUUACCCUCAUCCACUAAGCGGGUCACCUUGUCAUAGAAUGAAAUCAGGUUUGUCAGACAGGAUCUACCAUUCACAAACCCAUGCUGACUGGGCCUGAUCCCCUGGUUGACCUUUAAUUGGUCCAUGAUGGUUCCCGAGAUUAUUCAUUCCAUAACCUUCCCGGACACCAAGGUGAGACUGAUAGGCCUGUAGCUACCAGGAUCAUCUUUCCGGCCCUUUUUGAAGAUGGGUGUCACAUUUGCCAGUUUCCAAUCCACCAUGACACCCCUGGUUAGCCAGGACUGCUGAAAAAUGAUGGAGAGUGGCCUGGCAACCACAUCUGCCAAUACCCUCAGCACUCUAGGGUGCAAUCCAUCCGGCCCCAUGGACUUGUAAGCAUCCAGCUUUCGCAGCAGGUCCAAAACUAUCUCCUCAUGGAUCAUGAAGGGCUUAUUCUGUUCCCCAUCCCUAUCUACCAGCGCAGGGGGCUGUGUUCCCAGGGAGUAACAAGUCUUAUUGUUAAAGACUGAGGCAAAUAAGGCAUGAAGUACCUCAGCCUUAUCCCUACCCUUGGUGACCAGGUAGCCCUCGGCAUCCAACAAGGGGUGGAGAUUCUCCCUAGCCUUCCUCUUGCUGUUAAUGUGUUUAUAAAAGCACUUACUGUUUUCCUUUGCUUUAGUGGCCAAGCUCAGUUCUAGCUGCGCUUUGGCUUUUCUAAUUUUCUCCCUGCACAGCUUCACUACAUACCUGUAAUCCUCUUAAGUAGCUUGCCAACUCUUCCAGACACUAUAAACAUUCCUUUUGUUCUUGAGAUCCAGCCAAAGGUCUCUGUUUAGCUAGCCCAGCCUCCUUGACCAUCGGCUCAUCUUUCCUUGGUUUACUGUGGUUUACUUCCGGUUUAUUCCAGCUCAGAUCCUUGUUCCCAGAUCAUCUUCAUUAUACUGACAACUUAACUCCUGGUCUCUCUUGGAAAGAAAGAUAAUGAUUUUCUCUAGGAUGAAUGAAAGAAAGAGUUGUCUUGUUCUGGAAAAGGCUGAGCUCCAGACUACCUUUGGGAAGGGGUAGUUCUUUCACACUCCAGUAGCCCAGCUGUUCUUAUAUCAUUCUGUAAAACACACAGUAUAUGCUCCACUUAAUUACAGAACAUUAUUUUGGUGAACCCUCACAUUGUUUCAGACACUAUAAAAAAACAAUAUCUAAUCCUAAUUCAAAUGAAUUAUUGUAUCUUUGAGUCCCAGACUGCUGAGUCCCCAAUUUCUGGCAAGAUAAACAGAGAUGGUUCUCUGAGUGGCUCUCUUUCGUAUCUUAGAUGUCGUCAAUACACUCUUAAAGCUAAGAACAUGAAAUACAUUUUGAUCUUUAGACUGACAAAAAAAAAAAAAAAAAGCACUAUUUCUUCAUUUUUUUAUAACUUCUUAUGGGUUUUUAGAUUAACUAUUUGCAGGAAAAAAAUGUGUAUAUCUAUAUGACAAGAAGUUUUAAGUUUUUUUACUUUCCUAGAUGUGCCCAUAACGUUUUCUUCUUGACUUUCAUGCAAAAUAAAUAAAUAAAAGAGCAAAAGCAAAUUCUACCUGCAUUUGGCUAGUCUAAUCAUUUAUCUACAAAUAGCUCAACAAAUCAAUGGUACAUAGAACUGUUUUUUGUGGGAGUUACUUUGCCUAGAAGUUCAUGGAAAUUUUAUUAAUAUGCAUUUUCCUAAAUUCAAAAUAUAACCAGGAUCUUAAAUAAAUGUUAACUUCC
ensembl:lncRNA